AACAAACAACUACAUGGUCUAAUGCAUCUUCCUGAUCUUCAAGGCAAUACAAAUACAAACAAUUCAAAUUCUUCCAAUCUUUUCAACCUUAUGGUUCAUGAUCAAUUCAACAACAUGAGUAGUACCCAAGGAACAACACUUUACAUUAACAACAAUAGCUCUUUAAGUGAUCAUCAAGUUGGUUUUGUCAAUUCAAUGCAACAUGGUCAAAACAUGUCUAGUCCUCACAUGUCUGCCACUGCAUUGCUUCAAAAAGCUUCUCAGAUUGGUUCAACUAAUUCUACCAACAAUAACAAAGGUAGUAAUAAUGAUCAUAAAUCAGGUGAUAGGGACUUUGUUGUGUCUGAUCACAACAACAUCAAUGCCACUUUUGGAAAUAGAAGUUCAAGUAUUGAAAAUGAUCAUGACAACAACGAUCUUCAUGGAUUGAUAAACUCUAUUGCAAAUGGAAACACAUCAUCCAUAUUUGGCAAUGAAAGCAAUCUUAAUAUGAGAUUUGGUGGAUCUGAUAAGUUAACUUUAGAUUUUCUUGGUGUUGGAGGAAUGGUCAGAAAUAUGAGUGGUGGAUUUUCACAAAGUGAACAACAACGUGACAUGAUGAAUACUAGUAUGGUUUCUUUGAAUCAUGACCUAAAAUCAGCACAUUCAAGUCAACAUUUUGGAAGCUCAAAUAUCUUGCAAUGAAGAUUGGGGUGAGAAAUUUAUUAAUUUAAGGAAAUAUUGCUUGUUAGUUACAUGUGAAUUAUUCAUUAAUUAAGUAGUAAACUUUGUUUCAAACAUUUAUUUAUUUUAUUUUUGUUUUCCUCAAAAGAAGUGCAGUUCAUUGGUAAAAUGAGGUUCCAAUUCUAGAAAUUACUACAAAUUACAAUCCCUUAUUUUAUUUUAACACGUCCCUUUCCUUAUUCUUUGCUCUCUAUGAUGUGAUAGAGAGAUGUAAUAAAUUCACUUUUGAAUUUCAUGUGUGAGCGAACAUGAGAUAAUAAAGUUUAUAGAAAAAAAAAAUUGAUUCAUUAUAGAUUUUCCUCUAAGAAAAUUAUUUCUCAAUCACAGAGGGUAAAAUUCCAUGCUCGAACCAAGAAAAAAUAUUCAACCUAACAAUUUCAGCAUUGUUAGUUGUGCUAGGUUUUACGGACCAGGACAUCAUCGUUGUCUACCAAUUUUUUUUUACAGAUUUGAGGCGAUUUAAUUUGGUUGAUAAACACGAGUAAAUUACUCAAAUGCCCCUUGGCAGUUAACUGCCGAAAUUUUAAAAAAUCGGCUGCAGUUAACUGUCGAGAAAUUUCAAACCUGAAAUUAAAUAAGGAAAUACACCUAUGUUUUCCUUAAUUAAAUUUAAAUCUUUAAUCCUUUUAAGGAAUUAAACAUAAUUAUUUUUAUGAUUUCAUUCAUAUGAUUUUGUUGCUAUAAAUGAAGAAAUAUGAGAGAUGAAUAAUAUCUGUAAUCGGUAGUUAAUAGACCUAAAAUGAUGAUUCAAUAAAAAAAAUGCAACAACAAAAACGUUACAAAUGAUAGAAUAAUUAUAUUUGUAAUUAUUAGUAAUUAAUUUCAUUGAUGUUGUUAUUAUUCAUAAGUUUGACUAACCUAUUAUUACUUUAUACUAAUAUUUUAGAUAUUAUUACUUUAAUUAACAUGAAAAACGCAACAACAAAAAAUAAGGGGGAUUUAUUGGAUUAAGAUUCUAUGGGAUUUUAAAAGAUUUUUUAAUUAUGAAAAAGUCUUGUGGUAUUCAAUCAAAACUUUUUGCAGCCGGUUCUUUAAAAUUUCAACAGUUAACUGUCGAAGGAUAUUUGAGUAAAUUACUCGUAUUUCUCAGUCAAACCAAAAGUGUGAACAGCAAUACUCAAUUUCAAAAACAUGUAUAUGCCACGGUAAAUAAAGCCAGUUGUUGACUUGUUGAUAGUUGUGUUGUUAUUACUUGUGUACAAAUGCUUACCAAACGAGGGUGGGAUGUUGGCACUCUGUUAUGUUAAGAAUCUUCACGUUUUGGCUAUAUUCCAAUGGAAGCGACAGAGCCUCAUUUCCGUUCAAUUUCAUCUUUGUUUUUUUAUAUACGACGUACAAAUACUAACUAACUAAAGGUACAUUAACUUUAAAAUAAAGCAAGAAAUUUUGUAGUAUUGCUUACCUAAUAUAUAUAUACCUUACUUUUAAAAAUACAUAUUAAAAUAUAUGUAAUAAAAAAUUAUAUUAAAUGCUAUAUAAAUGUUAAAUGUUAGAGUCUCACAUUGAAUAUGAGAAUAGUAUAACAAUAUGUUUACAAGUUAUUUAUAAUAGGUUCUUAAUAAUAAUACUAAAUAAAUAUCAAAACUUAUUUAUAUAGAAGUUAUUUUAGUAUUAUUAAGAGCCUAUACUUUUUUUUUGAGCAAAAGAGCCUAUACUUAAUUGAUAAGAAAUUGUUACCAAUAUACCAACUCCAUUAAGUACCAUAAAUUUGAGAAAGAGACCUUGCAUAUUUUUCAGGUGAUUUUGUUGACAUCUUUUUCUCUUAACACUAGGAAGGACCCUUUAGUUUUUCAUUGUAAUAUAAAUAUUCUUGUACAAGUUGACUACCUUUGAAUUUGCAUGUCGUCGUUGAUGGCUAUAUAUAGGGUUAGAUCUAACGUCAUUGUUCAUUUGGUGGAAGAUUUUUAUGAGGAGUGUGUGGUACAUAACAUAUGCAACAUAAAUAACAUAUUAGCAGUAGUCUCUGCAAUGUUCGUUAUUGUAAUUACUGGUAAAAUAGCUGCGACACUUUUGUCGCAUGUAAAUUCCUUCUUCACAUGGAAAUCACCCGUCCGUGAGUGAGUGAAUGAAUGAGUGACUAUUAACCAACCAACCCAGUCAUUUCAUUUCGCCUUCACUCUCUACCCGUUACAGUUUUUCUAACUUUCUUUCUUUAGAUUGAGUAACUUCAAUAAUGCAAUGCAACUAAAGAUUAUUACUUACAACUUCUAUGCUCAAAUAAUUGUUGCAAUGCAAUUAAACACUCACUCAUGCGUGUCCCCGUGAGCCUAAUCCAGUUUGUAGAGACAUUGCAUUAUAUAUAUAGAGGUUGGGGUUCAAACUCAAACACUCUACUUAUUCACCUUAAAAAAAAUGAAUUUAAGUCAAUUGGCUACCUGACUAAAAAAAAACGCACUCAUAUGUUUUAUUUCAUAAGCUGGUUUUAGACCUUUUUAUCUGAAAAACUUAUCUCACAUUGUAGUUGAUAUGUAUGGUUAGACCUUUUGUGAGGUUUGUGUGUCCCCUAGUCUAUCACUCUCUCACAGUUAAACUACUUUGUUUUUGAGAGGUUUGUAUACCUUACUUAAAAACAACUAUCAUUCUCUCAUCAAUUUCAUCAUUAAGCUAUUAAAAUUAACUAAAAAGUACCUAAACUAUUCUCACAUAUAACUAUUAGCCCCUUGGUUGACAAAGUUAAUUUUUUUUAUGAUGGUUUAUGGACUAAAUUGAUAUAUUUUUUAUAGUUUAAAGAUCUUCUAGUUGAUUUUAAUAACUCGAAGGCUAUAUAUGUGAAAAAAUUGAUAGUUUAAGGAACAAGUUGAUUGUUUAUUCUUAAUUUGAUUGAAGUCUACUGGCACACAAAUUUACAAGGAUACGGUGGAUAUGGGGAAGUUAUACCUGAUAUCCCUACAUUUAAUCUUUUACCCCCUACAAAUUGUUGAAAAUGCCAAAUUUACCUUUUAUCAUUUCACUUCACCCUGCAUAAAAUUUUAGCCAACAAUACACUUCCGAGAUUUAAUACUCCAAUUUUCGGAAUAUUCAUAUCAAAUUUUUAUGGUAGAUUAAUUUGUAAACCGGAACAAUUGAGUAAAGAAUUAUUAUCAGAAUUCUUUCUUCUUUCAUCGAGGUUUGAGAGACAAUGAAAGAUGGAAAAUAGAAUACAACAACCUGUAUUAGUUAAUAUAAAAUUAAGUGCAAAGCAAAGAUCAUGAUACCAAACCUCAUCAAUUCUUCUUCCAAUUCAUUUUAUUUAGAUCUAAAAAAAUGAAAGGCCGUAUAUUUCUGGAGUAGAAUUUUAGAUGUAAGGUUGGGAAAUCAAAAAACCUGGCUAAAACUGCAGAAACCUGUUUUCUGAAUUCUUUCUAAAAAAACAGUGUAAAAAAAUGCUUGUCUCUUUAUCUGUAGAUCUAAAAAAAAAUCAUUUCUAAUUCAUCUUGUUUGGAAAUAUGAAUACGAAAAGUUGUAUAUUUUAAUUUUUUUUAUUUUUACAAAAUACCGUUGUUGGGAAUGUGAAUAAUCUAAGAUUAAAUGUAGGGGUGGUAAAAGAUUAAAUGUAGGGGUAUAUGGUAUAAUAUCCUGGAUAUGGUAGGCUUAUAUUACUUAGAACCCAAAUCAUGUUACUUAGGCCCGUCAUCAUGGACUUUUUUCAUGUGGUUUCCAUGCAGGCUAGUUGAAUAUUGCUCUUUAGGCAUCCAUGUUUUGCUCUCAGACAUUUUGAAAUUAUUAUUUUACCUCAAUGAAAAUUAAUUACCAUUUGUUGAUGAACGAUGGUUAGUUUUCAUUCUCUUAUGAACAGUAGUUAAUUGUCGUUCUAGGGCAUUUUAUGUGGUUCAGAUUGCGCAGACAGUUUUUGUGGUCCACGAUACAUAAAAACUUCUAUAAAUUGGUGUGUUUGGUUCAUUUGAAACCACACCACAAAAUCAUGAAUAUUUAUCUAGUAGAUCCGAACACCAAAUUAGCGCAGUUAACUACAACGGGGAAAACUCAAUAUGUUUAGGGUUCAGGUUAAUGCUAUAUCGGUUGACUUGAAGGAACAUAGUUGGACCAAAUUAACAGUCGACUCAACCACAAAGACACAAGAAAGGUGGAAAGUGUUGAGUAUCGUCAUCCAUUCGUUUGACUCAUAUGAAAGCGUCAAGUUCACCCAUAUGAAGUUCAAGAACAACGACAUCGUGAGAACCAUCAAGUUAGACGCUUCAUUGGUCAAAUAUUUUUUAGAUGUUCCGGAAAGUUUGAUUCAGAUUAGGACCUUCAAAGAAAACAGGACUUGCAUGGAUAGACCAAAAGAAAUAAGUAUGUCUUAUUCGUGAUUUUGUAUGUGUUUUAUUAUGUUGUUAAAUUAUGUUAGUGUAUUGUGUUUUAUUAUGUUUAAUGUAUGUUUUUGUUAACUUAUGUCAUUGAAAUUAUGUUAAUGUAUUGUAUUUUAUUAUGUUUAAUGUAUGUUCUUCUGAGCUUUCCUUUGUAACUAAUGAUUAACUACAGUUUCUUCUGAAAACAACAAUUAACUAUUGUUCCUAGAAUGGGAGUUAACUCUUGUUUAACAACGAAAAAUAAUUAAUUAUUAUUUCGGAUAAAAUAGUCAAUUUGAGACGUGUUAAAACAAAGUAUGAGUGUCUAACGAACAAUUUUCAAGAUAGUUUAGUCCUUUUUGGGUUCUACCUUUUUUUUUUAUGAGUAACUUCUACACCUAGUUUCCAUUCUUUUUUGUGUUAAUUGUCCGAUUUCUUAGCAUGUGCGUAACUCACGCAGCGUGACUUAAGUCACACAUGUGUAAAAACUAAGUCAUGUAUUUUUUACACUUGCGCUAAUUAACUAACGCAAGGGUAUUUUCGGCAACACUGCAGGGCGCGAGUGUUUUGUGUUGGGUGAAGAGCAGAAUUCUAAAGUCAUAUAUAUAUAUUAUGGUUUUAAAAGGGUAAUUGCUAAAUCAGAUUCAUAGGAAGCAACUAAGUUAAUAUUGAAAGGGCAUGGUAAAGGGCACCCUUGUUCUCAUAUCAUUUCUCAUAUUUCUAAUUUUCUUGUCUAAUUCAUGAGUUACAAGUUUCAACGUGUCUAACGUGAAGCCAACAAAGUCGUGAAUGCUUUUGCAAGGAAUAUCCAACUUCAAAGUAUUAGCGCAGCUUUAACUUGAUGAACAAACUUAGAGUUUUCUAGGGUUUUAAUUUGAUUUUGUUGAAAUAGAGAGAGAAUGAGAAGAAUGGGUGAAUGAGGAGACAAGAAGUAUUAAAGUUGUGAUUUCAUUUAUAUGUAAAAAUACACAUGAAAGUAGCUUAUAUACAUGGUUUUUUGCUAGGUUACUUGAAGUACAAGUCAUAUAACAAACCCUAAAUACCUUAAGCUAAAAUCUAGUAAAUUUGUAACAAACUAUUAACAAACUAAACUAACUAGAUUUCUAAUGUGAUUAACCAAACAAGCUUGAUUAGAUCACUAACAAACUUGAAUUAUCAACUAACACAAAGUUGCGAUAAUAUAAAAAUAAUAUCAGAACUAGUCUCUCUUCAAAUGAAUGAUGCAUCACAACUUAUCUUUCUCCUUUGAUGGAAAAAUUUGUUCUAAUACCAAUUAUUGAAGGAAAAAAAUCAAUAAAAAAUCUUUAAACAAGCGGGAACACAACCACAAAAUAAGUAAAAGAGAUAAAAACAAAUCACAAGCCUAUUUUUCGAUACUUCACAGUUCACACCUUCAUUCAUAAUAUCUUAACAAAAUAUUUGUUACAAAAAUAUGCAUAGUUUUACUAGGAAUUGCAAACCCUCUUGUACAAUUAUAAUUUUUGCACAGAAAUAUUGCAAACUAAUCUUUCUCAAUUACAAUUUUUGUAAGAAAAACUACAAACUCUUUCAUGACACACAACUACCCAACCUCUUUUUUUUUUUUUUUUUUUUUCAUUACUCGAUGUGCGAUGUGAAAGAAUAUCAAUUUUAGAGAACAAAUGGCUAUAAUUUAUAGGUGGCCUUUAUGAUUUUUGGCACAAAUUUUCAUACUGUGAAAUGUGAAUAGAUGCAUGUGCAGAGAUGGAGUUCAUAAUUUAAAUCUUACGUUAAAAAUAAAACAAGUUUUUAAUGUUAUAGUUUAAAAAUAAAAAAUUGUUUCUUAUAUACAAUAUUUUUAUGAAUAUUUACAUAGUUCUUAAAAAAAUUAAUAAUGAAUGGUAUAUUCGUGUCCUGUAUGACACAAUGAAACAUAUGCACAUGAUUAAAUUAUACAUUAAGCCUAAUCAUAUGAUCUGAAAAGAUUUUCUCUACAUUUCGUCGAGCUAGCAAGGUAGAUAGAUGUCAACUAAUAAGUUGAUGAAAUCGGCUAAAAAAGAUUCCCAGUUGAAGUUUAUUAUUUUUUUGGUGCAACCCAGUUGAAGAUUUUAUUAACUUUGAUGAUGGCUCUGAACUACCAAGUUUUCUAGAACUUGAACAAGUCCUUAAUUUUAGUUGAAUUGCAAUACUAUGUCUAUAUGUAUAGUAUACCGUUUCUGGUUUCAUAGUCUGUUAAUUUUAAGGAAUUUUUUCAAGUGGCUCAAAAAAAACAUAUACAGUACAUUCUUUAGUUUUAUUUACAUCGUUUUCAAUCUCUUUCGCUUUUUUAAAUAUUUACGCAGAAAACAUUUUUUUUUUUUUUUCAAUCAGAAAGAGGCAAAAUUAAGAUUUGCAUUGGUUUUAGUCAUCACCUACUACAUUAAAUUACUAUUUGUGGAAAAUAUUGUUUAUAGCGUGAAACUGUGCUCUGACUGGCUCACAUGCAAACGGACAGUGGCAAUAUUGUUUAAGGAAGUAUUAAUCUUUUUUUUUUUUUUUUUUUUGACAGAAACCAUAUAGUAUUAAUCUAUUAUUACUACUAUAUAUGCAUAAAAAAGGACCAAUUAACCGACAUGCUUUGAGUUAUUUUGUGUUUUUUUUUUUUAUUGUUUCUGAAAAAAUCAACCAACAUGCUUCUUUUUUUGCGCUAACUAAAACUAAUUUAUUUAUGCUACUAAUCAAUUUAUUAAGACUAAAACUUGAGUACAAGUUAGUCUUUUUUUUUGUAGUUGGUGACCUACAAGUGGUACUCUUGUACUCAUUAUACUCAAAGUCAAGGGUACAUGCGUAUGUGUUAUGCUGAAUUCGAAAAUUCAUAGUCAAGACCCAGCAAUAUCAAGAUAUAUACACACAUGUCCUAAAGUGCAUUCUGGAGAAUAAGAACUACAAGUCUAAAGUUUUUCUUUUUGUUAGUAAAGUUAUUUUAGUCCAAGUUUAGACUAUACAACGCUGACUAUGAAAUAUGAAAGGAAAAAAAAACCUUCAAUUUUUGUCAAAAAAAUAAAUUCCAUUGUCUCUAACUAAUUAUUGAAAUUUUAAACAUGUGUUUGGUCUAACGGUAUGGUAGAAAAAAUCACGGCAAAAAUUCACGGUAACUACAAAAUCUAAAAAUUUGUAAUUUCUUUGAAAUUUGAGUUUGUAACUUCGAACGUCAAAUAAUCGUUCAUUAAGUCUCUAAAGCUCACAUGAUCAGACCAGCUUUGAUUGCAAAAUAUGACCAACUAAUUACUAAUAAACAUUUAAUUUUGUUAGCAGAUCAAUUUAUCUGUUUAAUGUUAAAAUAAAUCUGAUCCAAUUCAAUACUUUUGGACAUAGAUUGAAAUGGUUUCCCCCCCCCCCCCCCCCCCUUUUUUUUUUUUUUUUUUGUAAACUAGGUAUCCUCCGCGCGCAACUGCGGAGACUAAUCCCUCGAGCAUUGUGAGACCCAAAUGGACGGCAGACUCUCCCUAAGAGUUUUAACGCUGCUGGAGGUAUUGUAAAUAAUAUUUUGUGUUAUAUUAUUUUUAAGAGUGUAUAUUUCUAUAUAAAAAGAGUGAGUUUUGCCUUCAACCUCGAGGUAAUCGGUUUGAGACCUAGGCACUGAGAACAUGAGUUUUUUCGAUUAGCUCUUUAAAAAAUUAUUUAUAGGAGGAAUAAUUGUUUUUAUGGAAUUUGUCGUGUAAUAAAAAUCUAAAUCGUCUAGUCUACAAUUUUGUAUAGUCUUCAAUUAUGUUGUGAAUUCGGGCUUUGAAACUUCACACCAAUCCAAACUAUGAUGUGUGGAGAAAGUAUCAAUGGCAACCAACAACCAAAUUAACCAUAAGCAAUAACAAUAAUAUAUACCAAGUCUAUAAACCAAGUGCAUAGCAAAAUCACAAUCCAACCAAAUAAUAAACAAGAUAAAAGAGUAAAGAAAAAUAGACAACAACACCAAGAGAUUGUUCACCCAGUUCGGUCCAACCAUGACCUACUCUGGAGGAGAGAUUGAUCUCUUCAAUCCACUAUCAAUGAGUUCUUACAAAGAGAUACAAAUGAGUUACAAGAAAUUAGCUUCAACAAGCUCACAAAAAACAACCCUAAUUUCUACCAAUUUUCCCAAUCUCACCAAUGAACAAGACACUCAUGAUUUUUACUCUCCCAAGGUGUUUACAAUUGUUUCACAACUCUAGAAUCUAACCCCCAAAAGAGAACCAACUCUUAGCCUUUGAUUUCACUUAGGAUCUUCUCUUUUGGUUUCACAAGACUCACCCAAGUUGCUCGCAAAUGACUCUCCACUCAUGUGUUUCCCAACCCCAUGAAUCUUCUCCAAAAGGCACCAACCCUUUUCACAAGAGCCCCCUCUUUUGGUUCUCCAAGAUUCACAUCUUGAAGCUUUGAACCUCACCCAAAGACCCUCAACCUUUAGUAUCUAAAACCCUAAAAGUUUCAUCCUUUGGUUGUUAUGGGAUUCACCAAGCUUACCCAACAAAUGGAUCAGGGAGUGUUUAAAACAUGUUUCAGAUCUGUCAAAAUCGUGUCACAUUUUGCCUUCAGAACCAAACAUGCAUUCGGCAUCAGAAAUCGUGACACGGUUGCCAAAUCGUGUCAUGAUUCUUCACUUUCAUAAAGACUUAAUUUUGAGUCAUAUAUAUACCAACAAAUUCAAAUUAUAUAAAUGGACGGUAUAUUCUUUAGUAAAAGUAUUAUUUCACAAUUUAAUACGUAUUAUUAAAAGAAAUUAGAAACAAUUAUCAAAAAAUUAUGAUAGAUAAUAUAUUAAACUCGUCUAGUGUGUGUGUAUUUUUGAAGGAUAGUGUGUGUGUGUAUUAACAUCAUUCUCUAAUUAUUUUUGUAGGGAAACAAUGUUGGUUAAAUUGAUGUGUACUUUUUUUUGUAAAAAAUAAUCGACGUAUUUUUAAAUGAGAUUUACAUGUAGAGAGAGACAGCGGUAGACAUAGUAGUAGAACAAUUAAAAUUUAAAAGACCACUUUACAAAUUGCACCAAGUGGUCCUCUAAAAAAGAUCACCGACAGUUGCUUCACUUUACCUUCAUAUAUUUUAGAGCAAUGAUAUUUGAACAAUUAUUUAGUACAACAUUUUUUGACAAUCUUCUUUUUCUCUCUUUUUAUUGGUCAAAAAUAAUGAAGAGAAAAAAGAAGAGAUAGAGUAAAAAUAUAAUAUGAAUAUGAGAAAAAAAAUUGUCUAAAAAUUAUCACAAAAUGGUUGUACAAAUAUUAUUUCUCCAUAUUUUAGACACAGGCUAAUCAUUAAUUAAUUUGUGUAAAAAAAAACAAUAAUAUUAUUUUGACAACAUUAUUCAACACCUUAUCUUUCUUUCAAAAAACAUUAUUCAACACCUUAUGUUCAUAUUAUCAUUUGAUUUUCUUAAUUAUGUUUUACAUCAGUCACAUCAAGUGACAUUUUACACGCUUAUCAAUUUUUUUUGUCAAGUAGCCUAGUGUUUAGAACUCAUAUAAUUUAAUUGUGAAGAAAUGAAGUGUCAGAGAUUCGAACUCCAACCCCUGCAUAUAAUAUGCAAUAUCCCUACCAACUGAACUAAGCUCACGAAGAUCGCGGUUAUCAAUUUUUGUAGUUCAAAUAACAUCACUAAAAAAAGCUACGAGGCAGACGCACAAAUUUUCAUUGAGCAGUUGUGUUAAUUAAUUUUAUAACGCAAGGAAAAUGGUGAAGUUUUUGUGAAUAGAGAAAUGAUAUAUAUACAAUCAUUUUCAAACAACUUUUGUAAUAACUUUAUCUCUCAUUUUUAUAUUUUAUUUUUAUUUUUUUCUCUAUUAUUUUGGUUUUCGUUUAUGAUUUUUUGUAAGAAAAUGAUUGUCUAUGUAGUUAUCAAUCACAUUGAUGUUCAAAUAACAUUGCUUUUGUGAAUAAUGCAAAAUAGUUUCUCGGAACAAUCAAUUAUUCAAUUGAUAUUUACGAAAUUAGUUUUUGUAGGGUGUCCCUAUAAAUCACAUAUACUUUAAAACAGUCAUAUGUAUUCACGAUUCGAGAUCUUAUAAAAAAACCAUUCCAGAUCAUGUAUGAAAAUGAAAUAUAUAUUUUUUUUGACUGGUGUAUGAAAAUGAAAUAUUUUCAAAAAUAAAAUAUACUCUCUGCCCAUAUAAUGUCAGCGUAGGUGUCGGUGUUUUUCUACCGACUAUAAGAAAAACUGUAAAAUAAAUAAAACAAUAUAGUAAUUUAAAUUAGUGAUUGUAAAUUAUUGUCUUAAAUGUAUAGUUCAAUAUAAUAGAUUAAAAAUGAUGAAAAAAAUAUUAAUUUAAGAGUAGAAUUGAAAUAACAUAUAUGUUUUCGAUAGUUUAACUAAAUUGAUAAAGACAUUGCAUAAUAAUAUACAAGUGUUUUGAAAUUCCAUUUAUUCAUUACAUGUGAAUUUUUAGAUAUUAAACUAUUUGGAAAAUAAAAUAAAAUAUCAAAUAAUUAAGGUUUAAAUAUGUAAGUAGUCCCUGUAAUUUCGCGUAUUUUUGUUUUCGUUCCUGUAAGUUAUUUUGUUCUAAAACAAACUCUGUAUUUUGCUAACCUUUUGGAAAAGGUCCUUGCCGUCAGCUUCCGUCAACAAAAACGCCAUGGUGGCUAACGGAGCACACGUGGCAGUUCAUGAGUUGGCAAAGUUGAUGAGAUGGAAUGAGAGAUGAUAAGUUGUUAAAAUACAGGGACUAAAAUCAAAAACGUAAAUUGACACAGGGAUGAAAUUAAAAAAACGUUUAAUCUUCUUUUUCCUCUCAAAUUUCAGUCUUCUUCUUCCUCUCAAACUUUCCCCAAUCUAUCCCAUACCUUGCGCCCUUGAACCAAAACUCAUAUCCUUCAACAAUUUAUUCUAAUUCCAUUACUCAAUCAUAUUGUGUGUUUUGAUUGUAAUGUUAAGUUGAAACAUUGUAUGCUACUUAAGUUUGAUUAAUUUAGUGAUGGUUGUUGCGAUUGAUUGCAAAUUCAUUCAUAAAGUUUGUAGAUAAUAAAGGCAAGAAUACAUCUUUUUCAUCCCUCUUUUUUUUCCACAAUUCCCUCUUAUUCUUCCAGAUUGCUACAAUUACCAUACAUAAAUAGUCAGAUCCCCUUUCAUCUUUUCUCACUCACAUUCAAAUUCAAACUCUAAUUUCUCAAAUUUUUGCUUUUGAAUUGUGUAAUUUUGUGUUUUUAUGUAAUUGGUGUAGAGAGUUUAUGUUGUUUUAAUGUGUUGAUUAAGAGUGGGUCUUGUUGUUGUUGAUUGAUGAUUAUUAGUUUUGUUUAAAAAAAUAUAUAUGUUUGUUGUUUUCUUUCUUUUCCUGGGUUUGGUGUUGAUGAUUUAUGAAUAUGGUGAUGAAGAUGAAGAAGACAAUGAAGGAAGAAGAAGAAUAAGAUCUUGAUUUUAAAUUUGAAAUUUUGAUUUUACGUUUUUUAUUUUAGUCCCUGUGGUAAUUUACGCUUUUGAUUUUAGUCCCUGACUUUACACAACUAAUCAUCUCUCAUGCCAUCUCAUCAAAUGUGCCAAGUCAUGACCUGCCACCUGUGCUCCGUUAGCCACAAUGGCGUUUUUGUUGACAGAAGCUGAUGGUAAGGACCAUUUUCAAAAGGUCAAAAAGAUACAAGGUUUAUUUUAUAUAAAAAAAAAAACUUACAAGGACGAAAACAAAAAAUACGCGAACUUAGAGGAACCUUUUACAUAUUUAAGCCAAUAACUAAUAGCACUUAUUUUGGUACAUUUCUCUUUUGCAAAUGUGAAACUUAAUAUUGGAUGGGGUCAAUAAUUUUGAGAAUGAAUAAACCCAUUAUUUAGUCUUUUAAUUUUUUUUUUCCAUCCAUCAGGUUUCUAAACUAUUUACAAACACUAAAUGUCCUUAAGACAUAGCUCAAGUAACAAUAUUGAUAUUGAGAAGUUGGAUAUUUUCAUCCGAGUUUGAACUCGAAUUCUUGCAAUUACGAGUGUGAAUUUCAGGUAAUUUAUAUCAAUUUAUCUGUAAACAAAAGGAGAUAUAUACGCGUAACAAAUAGGUCUAAUGCAAAUUAACAACUUAUUUUUAGUUUAUAAAAUAUAUGAAAUUUAAUCCUUUAGUCCCUAGUAUAUUUUAACAAUGGGCACUAAAGCAACAUAUAUUUCAUAUAUUUUAAAUACUACUACAUCUUUCCUUAUGUAUAAGCUCAUUUGACAUUUUCACAUAUAUUAAAAAAGUUAGUAGUGUCUUGACAAAAAAGAAGCUCCUUAGAGUUUCCUUAUGUAUAUUUUUUUAAACCGAAAAAAUUGUGUACAAAAAAUGACUAUUAUUACUAAAAAAAAUCUUUUGCAUAUAGAUGUGUUCAACAUUUAUUUUGCAAUUCUCAAGACAAAUCAGUGGUACAUCUUAAUAAGUGAUAUAUUUGUUAGGAAAAAAAAUUACUAUAUGUAUCUAGUUAUUUGCAAGACUAAUGAUUCUUAGCAAAUAUGCUUAUAUUGAGAGAACUUUUUUCUAAAGAGAGCUUAUAAUUAGAGACUAAGAUUUUGCCAAAAAAUAAAGAAAAAUUAGAGAAUAAGGUUUAUACUAUACUUUAGAAACUAAUUUGAUGAGAUACGACUAAAUCGAAGAUAUAUUUUUUUAGAAUAGUGUUAGAACCUUAGAAAUUAUAAUCAAUAGAAAUAGAAAUGUUCCUUACAGAUCCAUAAUAGUGACAAUCUUGUCUUUUCUUUUGAGGAAAUAAUAAUAAAGGUGGUGCCAACAUUUCAACAAACCUAGCUAUUUUAAUUAUUCUGUUCUCACAGCCUGCACCUUAGAUCAAAUCCAAAUUGGGUCAUCACCGUUCCAAAAUGCUUAGGGACGUUACUCUAAAUGUCAAUAUGAAUGAGUAAUUCAAAUAGUUAACAUAGCCCGCCAGCCUUAUAUAAUAAUAUCAAUAUAUGUCGACUAAUUAUCGAGAUGCUAAAUUGGAGUACACUUCACAAACAAAAAUCUUUCAUAAGGCGUUUUUUCUCUUAAUACAUUUUUUCUUUUCUUAUGCUAGUAACAUUUACUCUGUAUUGGCCUUCCUAAGAAGAAGUUGGAUAGUAGCAAUGUGUUCGUGAGACUGCUGAUAUCUUAAAAGAAUGUUCUCAUAGAUUCCACUUUUUUAGUAAGCUUUUAUGUGUAUGAGUUUGCAAAUUUAACCCUUUUUAAUUCGGAUAGAUUUAUAAGUCACACCUUCAAGUACAAUCGACAAAAUUUCAGUAAUAAUUACGGUUUAGGGUUUAUGGGUCUAGAUCUACUAAAAAUGAGUGGGUGUAUAAAUUAGUAUAUCCUAGAGUUUAUUAUCUUACGUUCGAUCUUCUUUGCAGAAACUCGUGCAUGUUCGUGAUAUAUAUUUUCGCGAGAAGUACAUUUCCCUAAAACAAAAUCAACCACUGACAUAAACACGUCAAAUGUAAGCCGGUAAAUCCAAGCUUUACUAACACGAGUUAUAUUAUAUCAUUGGCAUCAGCUACUUAAGAACUACUGUAGAAAAUUUACAGCAAGUCAUCGAGGCUUAAUAAAAUGUGUUGAUAUAGUUACAAAGAUAAAUUAAAUAGCAGAGCAUACAUGAAGAGAACAAAUGUAGAGCAACCCCUUAAACAAACCCUCUCAGUAAGGUAUCUUCACAUUACUCUAAGUUCAUAAAAGAUGACUUUAAAAACGAUUAUUUCAAAAUGCAAGUAUUCUCCGACCCCUUUUUCCCGGAUCUAGAUCUAAUAGUGUAAGGAUAUAUAUAAAUCAUUGUCACAUUUUACAACUCAAGAGUUUACCUCAACUCGUUUUGUUUAGGUAAAUUCGACUCGAGAACUCGUAUGACUUUACCUAAAAUUAAAAUUAUAUAAAAUUUAUUAUAUAUGCAUGACAUAUGUAAGUUAAUAUAAUAUUGUAAAUAGGUCAAUAGUGCAAAAUAUGACUUAAUUACAAAGACAAAUUAUACCAUAAUAAAAUGUUAUGCUCAACUUAGCUUCAAAAUACAAAAAUUAACGCACAAAAUCAUAAGUCUCUAAGUUUAAGCCAUCCAUAAAACCAUCCAAAAAAAGAAAGUUUCACAAGUUCCUAAAGUUAUUAAUAAAACUAUCUAAAAAAUAAAGUAGUUAAUUUCUUCAAAACGUCAACAAACACCACCACAACAACCCUAACCAGUGUCACAAUCACCGGCGUUGAAAUAUGAAUUUCCACCGUCUGAAUCACAACCCUAAAUGGUAUGUGCUCCCCUGUUCAUGGUUUGAGAACUUAGAAAAGAAAAAGGGCAAUCCGGUGCACUAAAGCUCCCACAUACGCAGGGUCCGGGAAGGGGUCCCACCAUUUUUUGUGUAUUGUACGCAACCUUACCCUGUUUUUGAUCACAAAAGAAAAAGAAACGUUUCAUUUUAGGAACAACUUGUCACUGUAAAGGUAACUAUUAAUUAAACGUUUCAGUCUUUGGGGUUGUAGAAAAGGAAUUGGAUUUUGAAAAAAAUGGGCACAUAAAAAGGGCCAAUUUUUAGAUGUAAACUCGUAAAACUCAGUAAACUCGGUCGAGUUUACACGAGUUUACCUAGUGUUAACUCGGUCAAACUCGUUAAACCUUCCAAUUUUACCAGAAACCGAGUUUACCUCCGAAUUAACAUGAUUUUGGCACCUACGUAAACUCGAAGAGUUAACACUCAAUUUGCGGAACAUUGCAUAUAUAUUUAAAGAUAUAUGUAUAAUUAUAGAGAAAGUAGAGAAGGGAUAUACCAUUUUAUGUAGGGUUAUUAUGUAUCAAAUCAUAAAGAGUCGAGAGUUGUAUUAUACCAUAAUAUUCUUCCGUAAACUGGUAGUCAUGAUCAUGACGUAUAUUAUUCAAGUAUAUGCAAAAACAUGUCUGUAUCUAGUCUAAAUUUUUGACCAAAUGCAUGUAUUUGCUUAUAUUUUGUUACUACUUACUACUCGCCAAGUAAUGCUCAAUAUCUAAUAUAUAUAUUUCAAGACCAUCAAAGAUAACUCAGUUGAACAAUACAUAAUAUAUGCAAGGUUCGGGGUAUAUUACAUUUUCAAUUAUUCUAAUAAUAAAUUUAAAUGACACUUAAAUUAUACAACUAUUAAAUAGAUCUUAGUACCGUAAAAUUUAUAUUCGAGACUUGCUAGGGAGAACCAUCAACCUCAACAAAAAUUUCUACUUGAAUCUAACGCAAACAAAAGGUCCAACCAUCUAUGAAUCUCCGUUGAUAUCACAAAUGAUGUUUGAUACAAGAGAGACAUAUUAGAACAUAAUCUAUGUACAAUCUACAUUAAAAUAAAAAACAAGUCUACAGUCAUAUAAAUAACACAAUUUCAAAAUCUCAAAAUUAGGUAUGAAAACAAAAUGAUUAGAAAAAUAAAUGAUUCAAUCAUUCCGAGAUUUGUGCAAAAAAAAAAAAAAAAACAUUUUGAAAAUACAAUGUUAGAAACUUAUGAUCAAUAUAUAUUUUUCCUUACACAUCAAAAAUAAUUAAGCUAUAUUCUUGUCUUUUCAUUUUGGGCAAACUAAAAUUAAAAUCAAGGUAGUGUCAAUGUUUCUAUAGUCCUAGCUAUUUGAUUUUCUUCUAAGCUAACAAGAGUCUUCCAAAAUCAAAUUCGCGCUCAAAAUUAAAGCAACUUGGGUGGUAACCAUUCCAAAAUACUUAGGGCCACAUUGCUCUAAAAGUCAAUAAGAAUAAGUAAUAAUUCAAAGAUAGCCAACCUUAUAGUAUAUUUUAAUAUGAAUGUAUGCAUGUUUCCUAGAAGGUGAGUAAGCUAACUAAUCAAGAUACUUUGUUGGAGUUAAAUAUGGUAAAGAAUCCAACUAUAAAAUGGGGACUUGCCCCAGCAUUCUUUCACAAACCAAAACCAACUUCUAAGAAAAAAAUGAGGUCCCUAAUGGCCUCUGCUUCUCUCACUCUUGCAUUAGCCAUCCUCUUUUUGAGUUUCCCAUCUGAAAUUUCAGCAAACAAAUACGCAUAUUCCUCUCCACCACCACCACAUUACUCAUCUCCUCCACCUCCACCGGUUCACACUUACCCUAAACCAGUCUACCACUCUCCACCACCACCAGUUCACACCUACCCUAAACCAGUUUACCACUCUCCACCACCACCAGUUCACAAGUACCCUCACCCUAAACCAGUAUACCACUCUCCACCACCCCCAGUUCACAAGUACCCUCAUCCACACCCAGUCUACCAUUCUCCACCACCCCCAGUUCACAAGUACCCCCAUCCUCACCCAGUGUACCACUCUCCCCCACCACCACCACCAAAGAAGUCCUACAAAUACCCAUCUCCCCCACCACCACCAGUUCACACCUACCCUAAACCAGUCUACCACUCUCCUCCACCCCCAGUUCAUCACACCUACCCUAAACCAGUCUACCACUCUCCUCCACCCCCAGUUCACACCUACCCUCACCCUAAACCAGUCUACCACUCUCCACCACCCCCAGUUCACACUUACCCUAAACCAGUCUACCACUCCCCACCACCACCAGUUCACACCUACGUCCCUCACCCUAAGCCAGUCUACCACUCUCCACCACCACCAGUUCACACCUAUCCCCCACAUGUUCCCCACCCAGUUUACCAUUCUCCUCCUCCUCCAGUUCAUUCCCCACCUCCACCACACUAUUACUACAAAUCACCUCCUCCACCUUACCACAACUAGAUAGCCCAUAAUUGGCAUCACACCAU
rnacentral:lncRNA from 1 species